rnacentral:rRNA from 1 species
AACGAACGCUGGCGGCGUGGAUAAGACAUGCAAGUCGAACGAGAGAAUUGCUAGCUUGCUAAUAAUUCUCUAGUGGCGCACGGGUGAGUAACACGUGAGUAACCUGCCCCCGAGAGCGGGAUAGCCCUGGGAAACUGGGAUUAAUACCGCAUAGUAUCGAAAGAUUAAAGCAGCAAUGCGCUUGGGGAUGGGCUCGCGGCCUAUUAGUUAGUUGGUGAGGUAACGGCUCACCAAGGCGAUGACGGGUAGCCGGUCUGAGAGGAUGUCCGGCCACACUGGAACUGAGACACGGUCCAGACACCUACGGGUGGCAGCAGUCGAGAAUCAUUCACAAUGGGGGAAACCCUGAUGGUGCGACGCCGCGUGGGGGAAUGAAGGUCUUCGGAUUGUAAACCCCUGUCAUGUGGGAGCAAAUUAAAAAGAUAGUACCACAAGAGGAAGAGACGGCUAACUCUGUGCCAGCAGCCGCGGUAAUACAGAGGUCUCAAGCGUUGUUCGGAAUCACUGGGCGUAAAGCGUGCGUAGGCUGUUUCGUAAGUCGUGUGUGAAAGGCGCGGGCUCAACCCGCGGACGGCACAUGAUACUGCGAGACUAGAGUAAUGGAGGGGGAACCGGAAUUCUCGGUGUAGCAGUGAAAUGCGUAGAUAUCGAGAGGAACACUCGUGGCGAAGGCGGGUUCCUGGACAUUAACUGACGCUGAGGCACGAAGGCCAGGGGAGCGAAAGG